rnacentral:rRNA from 1 species
GACGAACGCUGGCGGCGUGCCUAAUACAUGCAAGUCGAACGCAGUGGGGACGGUUGAGUAACACGUGGGUAACCUCCCAUCAGAGGGGAUCACACUUGGAAACAGGUUCUAAACCGAUAUUGAUGGCUGGACCCGCGUUGCAUGAGCUAGUUGGUGAGGUAACGUCUCACCAAGGCCACGAUGCAAAGCCUACCUGAGGGGGUGAUCGGCCACACGGAGAAUGAGACACGGCCCAGACUCCUACGUGAGGCAGCAGUAGGGAAUCUUCGGCAAUGGACGAAAGUCUGACCGAGCAACGCGGCGUGAGUGAAGAAGGUGUUCGGAUCGUAAAACGCUGUUGUUAGAGAAGCGGUAUCUAACCAGAAAGCAACGGCUAACUACGUGCCAGCAGCCGCGGUAAUAC